AGUUGUGCCUGACACGUGAAACUUUUACUUGUGCUCUAGACUCAGAAAAUAAACUGUAGAUCAGACUAUUUUUUAGAGCGGUACUCUAUGAGGACAUCAGAGGGGGCUCGAGGAAAUGGUCGAGGAAUAAGUCACUGCGCAACAAUGAGUCUGAACACAGUCUCGAAGUGAUAAAUGUAGAAAAGUAGCUUUUACAAUCCACAACUUGGUAGUUUACAAUUAGUUCGAAACGCAGUGGCCACUGGAAACGUUUCUGCGCAGCGCAAUGGCUGCCCAGUGCGACUCUUUGAGCGGAUACUUGCAACAGUCCGACCAGGGCUCGAACAGCGAGCGCAGUACCGACUCCCCAGUCGCCGGCUCCGAGGAUGACUUGAGCGGACCCCAUGCCUUACCAGACCCGGAGUGGACGGAGGAGAGAUUUCGAGUGGACCGCAAGAAACUGGAAAUCAUGUUAUUAGCGGCAACUGAGGGAAGAGUCAAUGGUGGCGAGGACUUCUUUCAGAAGGUCAUGGAUGAAACCAAAACACAGAUAGCGUGGCCUUCCAAACUGAAGAUCGGCGCCAAGUCCAAAAAAGAUCCGCACAUUAAGGUCUGUGGAAAGAGAGACAACGUGAGGGAAGCCAAAGACCGAAUCAUGUCAGUCCUCGACACAAAGCAGAGUAACAGGGUAACCCUUAAGAUGGACGUGUCCCACACAGAGCACUCCCACGUCAUCGGCAAGGGAGGCAACAACAUCAAGAAGGUGAUGGAGGACACGGGCUGCCACAUCCACUUCCCAGACUCCAACCGCAACAACCAGGCGGAGAAGAGCAACCAGGUGUCCAUUGCAGGCCAGCCAGGAGGGGUAGAGGCAGCUCGAUCCAAAAUCAGAGAGCUGCUCCCUCUGGUUCUGUCGUUUGAGCUGCCAGCCAUCGUGCAGCCUGACCCAGGCUCCCCCACAGUGCAGCACAUCUCCCAGACAUACAACCUCACCGUCUCCUUCAAGCCCCCCACACGUCUCUAUGGGACCACCGGAGUGGUCCGCGGCUCCCAGAACAACUCUAGUGCCGUCAAGAGAGGCACUGCCAUAUUGCUGGAGCACCUGGCGGGCAGCCUGGCCAGUGCCAUCUCAGUCAGUACCCACCUGGACAUCGCUCCCCAGCACCACCUCUUCAUGAUGGGCCGCAACGGCAGCAACAUCAAGCACAUCACCCAGAGGACAGGAGCCCAGAUCCACUUCCCUGACCCCAACAGCCCCCAGAAGAAAUCUACUGUUUACAUCCAGGGAAUCAUCGAGUCUGUCUGCGUGGCGCGCCAGUACCUCAUGGGCUGUCUACCACUGGUGCUGAUGUUUGACAUUAAAGAGGACAUCGAGGUGGAGCCCCAGUAUAUCACCGCUCUGAUGGAGCAGCUGGAUGUCUUCAUCAGCAUCAAGCCCAAACCAAAGCAGCCCAGCAAGUCUGUGAUCGUAAAGAGUGUGGAGCGGAAUGCAGUGAACAUGUACGAGGCCCGGAAGUUUCUGCUGGGUCUGGAGAGCAACGGAGUUUCAUCAGCCCUGUCCCCCUCAACCAUCGGCCCCUCCCCCACUCUCAUCUGUCCUGUCGGCCUGGACAUCCUGGCCUCAGCUGGCCUGGGGCUGAGCAGUCUGGGCCUCCUGGGGCCGUCAGCGCCCCAUUCCCUCAGUAGCUCCCCGGCUCCAAACUCUGUCCUCAACAGUCUGAACUCUUCCAUGAGCCCCCUGCAGAACCCCCCGUCUCCCUCCCCCUCACUGUGGCCCAGCUCUCUCACCAGCACACAAGGCUUCUCGUCUCAGUUGAUGAUGCACCCUGUAGCCCAGGCCACUCUGAGCAGUAUCCUGCUCUCUGGGGUCAAGGGGUACACCCAAAACACUCCCUCCCCUCCCCCCGGCCUCGCCCCGAUCGACAAGCAGACCAACGGAGUCCCUGACUGCUCCAAAGGCCCCUGUACCAUGAAUGGACAUGUAAAGCAACCUGGCUCAGUCUAUGGAAGGAUGUCCAGUGCAUCUCUGGCAGACACAGUUCUGAACCCCAACCAGUGUGACUCAGUUCAGGAGGCCAGCGUACACAACCAGUCAGAACCCCGCUCCAGCAAGUCCAACCAAGACGAAGGCUCUGACACCUUUGUGGAAGUGGGCAUGCCCAGAAGCCCAUCUCACUCAGCCAAUGGGAACGAGCUAAAACAGAUGCUGGCUUCCUGUAAGACGUCAGGGAAACGGCAUGCGGUGGAGCUCCUCCAGGGGACCAAGAACUCCCAUCUCCAGUAUGUCUGUCCAGAGCUACACUCAGACUGCCUCCUGUCAGACCCAGAGUCGAGUGCUUCAGACGGCCCUGUGACGGAUAAGAGGGCGCCGGGCAGUGAGCGGGCAGCAGAGAGGGCAGCAGAGAGGGCAGCACAGCAGAACGAAAGGGACAGGAUCCGCUUGGCACCACAUUCCUCCUUUGCCAACAUGCAGGCGCUUGAAUAUGAACAGAAAAAGCUGUUAGCAACCAAAGCUAUGUUGAAGAAGCCUGUUGUGACUGAGGUACGGACCCCAACUAACACGUGGAGUGGUCUGGGUUUUUCCAAGUCCAUGCCAGCGGAGACCAUCAAGGAGCUGCGCAGGGCCAACCACGUUUCUUACAAACCCACAAUGAGUACCACCUAUGAGGUAAACUCUGACUAUGAGGUAAACACAAAUGGAGCACUCAACUGUUGAAGAGAAUGUGUUUUUACUAACAUACCUGAUAUAAAAGCUUAUGUGAAGACUAAUAUGAAACAUCAUAAUGAAUACAAAUAAAAAAAGAUACAUCUGUAAAGCAAGAAAGUUAACUGAAUUGAACCAUUACUGAGAGCUUAUAACUGCAGCCCAUGUAUCUAUCAGUAGGAUCUGAUAUCCCCCUUCUCUCCCCCAGGGCUCCCCCCUGUCCCUGUCCCGCUCCGGCAGCAGAGAGGGCGUGGGCAAUGGCAGUGAUUCUGACAACUGGAGGGACAGGAACGGGGUUGGGAACGGUCUUGUCAACCACGCCGAAUUCCCUGCGUCUGUUAGCAGUCCCAAGAGGAAGCAGAACAAAUCUGCUGCGGAGCACUAUCUGAGCAGCAGUAACUACAUGGACUGUAUCUCCUCGGUCACCGGGAGCAAUGGCUGCAGUCUUCAGUCCUCUCUCAAAGGGUCGGACCUGCCGGAGCUGUUCAGCAAGCUGGGCCUGGGGAAAUACACUGACGUGUUCCAACAACAGGAGAUCGAUCUCCAGACCUUCCUCACUCUGACAGACCAGGACCUGAAAGAGCUGGGCAUCACCACAUUUGGAGCACGCAGGAAAAUGCUGCUUGCCAUCUCAGAACUGAACAAGAACCGAAGGAAGCUGUUUGAGCCUCCUAUCAGGUCCUCCUUCCUGGAAGGCGGCGCCAGCGGGCGUCUGUCUCGUCAGUUCCACGCUGACAUGGCCAGUGUCAGUGGCCGGUGGUAGAACUCCACUCCCCCAGAACCUAACACGACAGAGACCCAGCCUUCAGUGCCUCUCUCUGGGCUUCUGUAGCCCAGUCUCCAGCCUCUCUGGGUCUCAGUGGUCCACCCUCCAUCUUAUGCUUAACAAUGACUGUUAAACUCUUUUGGGGGGGGGCAUAACAAAAAGCCAUAGUUUAACCAGAAGUGCCAAAAAAGAGAUCUCAGUGGUAUAGAAAGUCCAGUGUUCACUCCACAUAGUGCUAAAAUAUUUGUGUGGAGUAUCUACACAUGAAGGGUAUUUGACUAGUUAUGAAGGACAGGUACUGUCUAAUAGUUGUCAUUUUUGUUGAAGGGAACAGGCCAAAUGAUUAGUACGAAAUAGUUACAUUGAUACCGUCUGCAUUCGUAGUAUGCUGUUGUAUCAAUGACAUGCACUUUAACAAUACUAUAAUUUUGCCUGUGAAAGCCUGAUUCCUCAUAUUGGAAUACCUAUGCAUUUUGUAUUAACUCAAAGCACAGAUGUAUUUGUACCAAGCCAAAUGUAAGCACUUAGUGAGAUGGGGGAAUGAAGUUAAAGUUCAAAGGUAAAAGUGCCCAAGUGACAUCAUCAACUAAACACAGAACCUAGAGAAAUGACCUUUGACCCCUCAGUGUUUUGAUUGAUGGACAUUCCACGAAGGUCAGUGUUGUAUCCACCAGCAGUUGGGCAGCAGUCUGUCAAGGUCAUAUGUAUUUAGACAAUUAUGAUUUUGUAUUUGCAUUAUGAUUUUUUUUUUUUUUUAUCAUUUUUGGGGGGUUUUAAAGAUAAUCAGUGUACAUGUAUUUUUUUUUGUAUUUUCAUUAUUUUAUACAGUCAUGAAUGAGUUCCUAGGGUUUAUAAUUUGUAUAUUAUUAGUCUCUUUGAGAAUUACUUUUGCCCCAUAAUCUGUGGAGCGGUCAGGCUGUGCCAUGAGACAGCAGCAGAUAGAGAGAGCGCAAUCUGUCAGAAGUGAUUCUGUUUGUUGGCCUCCUAUGGUUUUCUUAGUCCUUGUCAUUAUGUCUCCUGUUAACCUUUCUGUGGUCUCUACUCGAUGUUGAAUCCCACUGUGUUCCUCUAUUGAUUCAGGAGACCCAUCACUAUUCCCAGACGGUGUGCUUUUAUCUUUCCAUUCACUUGGACUGCCUUUAGAGCUGCGAACAGAGCAACAAUGUAGAAUGCCUCCACACUACUACAGUAUAUAAUGCCUUUACUUCUCUCUCUACAGUAAGUUGCUCAGCAGGGAAUCAUUUCUAUUAGAAUAUUGCCAUUUUUCUGAACAGGACUGACACUACUGCUCACCGUCGGUGGAAACUCAACUUUGUUUCAUAUGACAGCCCCUAGCCUAGACACGUUUCUUGACAUUUACCAAGAUUGUGUCCUCAUGGAAGAGUCUAAAGUCUUCAUAACAUUUAUUCUAGAUUAAUUGAACUAUAGUGGAAAUAUACAAUUGUCAGUAUCGGUUGUGAAAUCAGAUAUCCGGGAAUCUUGUAAAGCUAUAUUUGAUGAAGUAACAGGAUUAUGUGUGCAGUGGUGCUGCUUAUCAAAGGAUGGGCUCACUCUGAGCGCUGUGUUAUGUUUGGGUUCAUAUAAUGGCACAGUAUACUCAAACCUUUUUGUUAAUGUUGGCUGACUCUGGAAUGUGUAUUUGCUAUAACUGCUUCCGAUUGAACCCCCAGAUUAAGCCUGGAAGUUGAGUCUUUUUGCAUUCUAUCAUAUACAGAGUGUUCGUGUGAAGUACUCACCAUCUUCAUGUGCAGACCAUUUGUUGGUAGAUGGUACAGCAUUUGACUGACAAUGCAGUGACCUGUAUGCAGAGCCCAAGGUGUGAGUCUAGAGGCCACUCAAUCUUCAAACUAGAUUCUAGGUUCGGAGUGUUGAAGUAGAUGGAGAGAACAUUUCAAAGCAACUUGCAUGUCAAAAUUGUUCUUAAAUGUUGUUUCCGCACAGCAGCAACAUCACUCUUUGCAUCAACCGUUCUGUAAUCACGCACAGAGAGAAGUCAUUUGUUUUUCGUUUUGCAUGCUUUCUCUCUUGGCCCUCUGUUGUAUCAUGUGUUUACACUAUACCACUUUUCGAACUGAUUUGAGCCAUUCUCAAUGUCGUUGUUGUAUUAAUAUAACAUAUUCUGACAAGGUUGUCAUUUCCGACCAGUAGUGUAGUGGUUCAUUUUCUUAGACAUUUUAAAAAGAGACAGGAUAUAAAAAGGGAUUUGUUACUCCACAAAGAAAUAUGGGGGUUGUUUAACCCUUUAUAAUGGUACUAUAUUGAAGCUGUUCAGCAUUGAUUUAUGUCAGUGCAGUUAUGUCGACCCGUGUACCUACAGUGCAGACGACAGUGUUUGUUUUCGCCUCUGUAAAGCCUCUGGUCAUUUGUCUGUUUGGAGGGCAAUAGAGAUUGUUUUCUGUCAAGUGAAUGUUAAAGUGAGAAUUAUUGAUGCCUUUUAAUCUAGUUUAAUGAAGUCAUUUGCAAUCAGUUUACCACCGACCUCCUUUCCCCACACCUUUUACAGAACCGUUAUUUCAUGUUUGUGUUUCGUCCUUGUUAUUCCUAAAGGGAUACAUUUGAAGGGGUCUACUUUGUACUGCGAUAGAUCAAAUGGGUCAACAUUUAUAAUGAAUGUAAACCACUAAGGAAUGUAUGUAUUGCUUUGCGUUUCUAUCCUGUGCAGCCAUGCUUGUUUUUUAGCAGUAUAUCUCCAGUUUCCUGUGAGAGAGAGGUACAGUUCCAAAAAUAUUCCACAAAGAAUUUAAGGAGUGAUAUUGCCUUUUGCCAUAGCUAUUUUCCUUUUGUUGAUAGGAUUGUUGAGCAGGACAUAGUUUUAGCUCUGUUGUUAAAAUCUGUAAAUAUAGUACAGAUAAAAAGUGUUUGAGGAGUUAUCAAAUGUUAUUACAAAGGAAAUAAAUGUAUGCAGUAAAAUGUU